UUAAAGGUACCCGUACCGCCAACCGACACAGGUGGGUGAGGAGAGUAUCCUAAGGCCAGCGAGAGAACUGUUGUUAAGGAACUCGGCAAAAUGACCCCGUAACUUAGGGAUAAGGGGUGCCACCAUCCGGUGGCCGCAGAGAAUAGGCCCAAGCGACUGUUUACCAAAAACAUAGGUUUCUGCUAAGUCGCAAGACGAUGUAUAGGAGCUGACGCCUGCCCGGUGCUGGAAGGUUAAGGGGAUCUGUUAGAGCAAUCGAAGCAGUGAACUUAAGCC
rnacentral:rRNA from 1 species